AACGUACGCUGGCGGCACGCCUAACACAUGCAAGUCGAACGAAGUAGCAAUACUUAGUGGCAGACGGGUGAGUAACAUGUAGGUAUCUACCCUAUGGCCUGGAAUAACACGAGGAAACUUGUGCUAAUACCGGAUAAGUCUUUACAGAGAAAGCUUUAUGCACCAUUGGAUGAGCCUGCACUUGAUUAGUUUGUUGGUGGGGUAAUGGCCUACCAAGACUGUGAUCAAUAGCUGAUUUGAGAGGAUGAUCAGCCACAUUGGGACUGAGACACGGCCCAAACUCCUACGGGAGGCAGCAGUGGGGAAUCUUGCACAAUGGAGGAAACUCUGAUGCAGCGAUGCCGCGUGAGUGAAGAAGGCCCUUGGGUUGUAAAGCUCUUUCGUCGGGGAAGAAAAUGACUGUACCCGAAUAAGAAGGUCCGGCUAACUUCGUGCCAGCAGCCGCGGUAAUACGAAGGGACCUAGCGUAGUUCGGAAUUACUGGGCUUAAAGAGUUCGUAGGUGGUUGGAAAAGUUGGUGGUGAAAUCCCAGAGCUUAACUCUGGAACUGCCAUCAAAACUUUUCAGCUAGAGUAUGAUAGAGGAAAGCAGAAUUUCUAGUGUAGAGGUGAAAUUCGUAGAUAUUAGAAAGAAUACCAAUUGCGAAGGCAGCUUUCUGGAUCAUUACUGACACUGAGGAACGAAAGCAUGGGUAGCGAAGAGGAUUAGAUACCCUCGUAGUCCAUGCCGUAAACGAUGUGUGUUAGACGUUGGAAAUUUAUUUUCAGUGUCGCAGCGAAAGCGAUAAACACACCGCCUGGGGAGUACGACCGCAAGGUUA
rnacentral:rRNA from 1 species